rnacentral:rRNA from 1 species
AGCGAACGCUGGCGGCAGGCCUAACACAUGCAAGUCGAACGAAGUCUUCGGACUUAGUGGCGGACGGGUGAGUAACACGUGGGAACGUGCCUUUAGGUUCGGAAUAACUCAGGGAAACUUGUGCUAAUACCGAAUGUGCCCUUCGGGGGAAAGAUUUAUCGCCUUUAGAGCGGCCCGCGUCUGAUUAGCUAGUUGGUGAGGUAAAGGCUCACCAAGGCUACGAUCAGUAGCUGGUCUGGGAGGAUGACCAGCCACAUUGGGACUGAGACACGGCCCAAACUCCUACGGGAGGCAGCAGUGGGGAAUCUUGCGCAAUGGGCGAAAGCCUGACGCAGCCAUGCCGCGUGGAUGAUGAAGGUCUUAGGAUUGUAAAAUCCUUUCACCGGUGAAGAUAAUGACUGUAGCCGGAGAAGAAGCCCCGGCUAACUUCGUGCCAGCAGCCGCCGCGGUAA